rnacentral:sRNA from 1 species
GCCGGGUGUGGUGGCGCACACCUGUAGUCCCAGCUUCUCAGGAGGCUGAGGCAGGAGAAUCGCUUGAACCCAGGAGGCGGAGGUUGCAGUGAGCUGAGACCACACCAUUGCACUCCAGCCUGGGUGACAGAGUGAGACUCCGUCUCAA